rnacentral:rRNA from 1 species
UACGUAGGGUGCGAGCGUUGCCCGGAUUUAUUGGGCGUAAAGGGCGCGUAGGCGGCCUGGCGCGUCGGCUGUGAAAUCUCCCGGCUCAACUGGGAGGGGACGGCCGAUACGGCUGGGCUUGAGCGAGGUAGGGGAGAGUGGAAUUCCCAGUGUAGCAGUGAAAUGCGUAGAUAUUGGGAGGAACACCAGUGGCGUAAGCGGCCAACUGGAUGAGUACUGACGCUCAUGCACGAAAGUGUGGGGAUCAAACAGG